UACGUAGGGGGCGAGCGUUGUCCGGAAUGAUUGGGCGUAAAGGGCGCGUAGGCGGCCUGCUAAGUCUGAAGUGAAAGUCCUGCUUUCAAGGUGGGAAGUGCUUUGGAUACUGGUGGGCUGGAGUGCAGGAGAGGAAAGCGGAAUUACCGGUGUAGCGGUGAAAUGCGUAGAGAUCGGUAGGAACACCAGUGGCGAAGGCGGCUUUCUGGACUGAAACUGACGCUGAGGCGCGAAAGCGUGGGGAGCAAACAGG
rnacentral:rRNA from 1 species